rnacentral:misc_RNA from 1 species
CUAAAUAGUACCGAAACCCCCAGUAGGUCGUUCUCGAACAACCCAGAAUACGAAAUGCCGUCCGAAUCAGUAAAAAUACCGGAUCGGAAUCAGCAAGAACUGAUUCGAAACUCAAAAUACCAAAAAAUAGGAAGAACUGAGAACGAGCAACACUAGUUAUUUGUUUCAAUUAACCAUAAAAAGAAAAAAACAGUUCGAUUAGUGCCAGACACUGAA